GGCGGACGGGUGAGUAAUGCCUAGGAAUCUGCCUAGUAGUGGGGGAUAACUUGCCGAAAGGUAAGCUAAUACCGCAUACGUCCUACGGGAGAAAGCAGGGGACUCUUCGGAGCCUUGCGCUAUUAGAUGAGCCUAGGUCGGAUUAGUUAGUUGGUGAGGUAAUGGCUCACCAAGACAGCGAUCCGUAACUGGUCUGAGAGGAUGAUCAGUCACACUGGAACUGAGACACGGUCCAGACUCCUACGGGAGGCAGCAGUGGGGAAUAUUGGACAAUGGGGGCAACCCUGAUCCAGCCAUGCCGCGUGUGUGAAGAAGGUCUUCGGAUUGUAAAGCACUUUAAGUUGGGAGGAAGGGCAGUUAACUAAUAUUUGACUGUUUUGACGUUACCGACAGAAUAAGCACCGGCUAACUUCGUGCCAGCAGCCGCGGUAAUACGAAGGGUGCAAGCGUUAAUCGGAAUUACUGGGGCGUAAAGCGCGCGUAGGUGGUUCGUUAAGUUAGGAGUGAAAGCCCCGGGCUCAAC
rnacentral:rRNA from 1 species